AACGAACGCUGGCGGCAGGCCUAACACAUGCAAGUCGAGCGCGCCCUUCGGGGUGAGCGGCGGACGGGUGAGUAACGCGUGGGAACGUGCCCUUUUCUACGGAAUAGCCUCGGGAAAAUGAGAGUAAUACCGUAUACGCCCUUGGGGGGAAAGAUUUAUCGGAAAAGGAUCGGCCCGCGUUGGAUUAGGUAGUUGGUGGGGUAAUGGCCUACCAAGCCGACGAUCCAUAGCUGGUUUGAGAGGAUGAUCAGCCACACUGGGACUGAGACACGGCCCAGACUCCUACGGGAGGCAGCAGUGGGGAAUCUUAGACAAUGGGGGCAACCCUGAUCUAGCCAUGCCGCGUGAGUGAUGAAGGCCUUAGGGUUGUAAAGCUCUUUCAGCUGGGAAGAUAAUGACGGUACCAGCAGAAGAAGCCCCGGCUAACUCCGUG
rnacentral:rRNA from 1 species